UAGGGAAUAUUGCACAAUGGAGGAAACUCUGAUGCAGCCAUGCCGCGUGUGUGAAGAAGGCCUUCGGGUUGUAAAGCACUUUCGGAGGGGAGGAAAAAAUAGACGUUACCCUCAGAAGAAGCACCGGCUAACUCCGUGCCAGCAGCCGCGGUAAUACGGAGGGUGCAAGCGUUAAUCGGAAUAACUGGGCGUAAAGGGCAUGCAGGCGGUUCAUCAAGUAGGAUGUGAAAUCCCCGGGCUCAACCUGGGAACAGCAUACUAAACUGGUGGACUAGAGUAUUGCAGGGGGAGACGGAAUUCCAGGUGUAGCGGUGGAAUGCGUAGAUAUGACGCAGAACUCCGAUUGCGAAGGCAGCUUUCCAGCGCGCUACUGACGCUGAGGCACGAAAGCGUGGGGAUCGAACAGGAUUAGAUACCCUGGUAGU
rnacentral:rRNA from 1 species